GCUGCCAAGUCAGGAAGGGGAACCCCCGGAACUCUGCGGCAAAGCGACCCCGAGGAGAGGAACGAAGAGCCUCCCGCGUUAGAGGCCCUGGAAGCGUGCUGUCGUCCUUGCUGAGGCUCACGGGAGACGUAGUCCAAGCGGAGGGGGCCGUUCCUGCGGAGCAGGUGCAGGAUUGGCCAGGCUGGUAGGACCCUCUGUCACCUCCAAAAAGACCCUCAAAACAAGAAUGCCAUCUCCUCUGGGUACCCCACACCUAUCCUUCAGAGACUCCAGGACCACCCUUGAGGAGCCUGAGGCUGCACGACUCCAUUUCCGGGGUUUCUGCUAUGAGGAGGUUGAGGGACCCCGAGAGGCAUUGGCCCGGCUUCGAGAGUUGUGUCACCAGUGGUUGCAGCCUGAGUCAUCCUCCAAAGAGCAGAUGAUAGAGUUGCUGGUUUUGGA
rnacentral:lncRNA from 1 species